rnacentral:rRNA from 1 species
CCCGUAGUUGACGACGUGUGUUCAGUGAAAUCGAGUAGGGCGGGACACGUGAUAUCCUGUCUGAAUAUGGGGGGACCAUCCUCCAAGGCUAAAUACUACUGACUGACCGAUAGUGAACCAGUACCGUGAGGGAAAGGCGAAAAGAACCCCUGUGAGGGGAGUGAAAUAGAACCUGAAACCGUGUACGUACAAGCAGUAGGAGCAGGCUUUGUCCUGUGACUGCGUACCUUUUGUAUAAUGGGUCAGCGACUUAUAUUCAGUGGCAAGGUUAACCAUCUAGGGGAGCCGUAGGGAAACCGAGUCUUAACUGGGCGUUCAGUCUCUGGAUAUAGACCCGAAACCAGGUGAUCUAGCCAUGGGCAGGUUGAAGGUUGAGUAACAUCAACUGGAGGACCGAACCGACUAAUGUUGAAAAAUUAGCGGAUGACUUGUGGCUAGGGGUGAAAGGCCAAUCAAACCUGGAGAUAGCUGGUUCUCCCCGAAAGCUAUUUAGGUAGCGCCUCGGACGAAUACUACUGGGGGUAGAGCACUGUUAAGGCUAGGGGGUCAUCCCGACUUACCAACCCUUUGCAAACUCCGAAUACCAGUAAGUACUAUCCGGGAGACACACGGCGGGUGCUAACGUCCGUCGUGGAGAGGGAAACAACCCAGACCGCCAGCUAAGGUCCCAAAUUACUACUAAGUGGGAAACGAUGUGGGAAGGCUCAGACAGCCAGGAUGUUGGCUUAGAAGCAGCCAUCAUUUAAAGAAAGCGUAAUAGCUCACUGGUCGAGUCGGCCUGCGCGGAAGAUGUAACGGGGCUAAGUAGUAAACCGAAGCUGCGGCAAUAUACUUUAGUAUAUUGGGUAGGGGAGCGUUCUGUAAGCGGUUGAAGGUGUGUGGUAACGCAUGCUGGACGUAUCAGAAGUGCGAAUGCUGACAUGAGUAACGAUAAAGGGGGUGAAAAACCUCCUCGCCGGAAGACCAAGGGUUCCUGUCCAACGUUAAUCGGGGCAGGGUAAGUCGACCCCUAAGGCGAGGCCGAAAGGCGUAGUCGAUGGGAAACGGGUUAAUAUUCCCGUACUUCUUACAAUUGCGAUGGGGGGACGGAGAAGGCUAGGUGGGCCUGGCGACGGUUGUCCAGGUUCAAGUGCGUAGGCU